GGGCCAGCUGGGCCUUCCGCCGCUGUGCCCAACGUUUCUUUCUCUGCGGUCUACGGCAAGCGAAGUUUGACAGCGCAGUUAUAUCACCACGUGUAAAACCUGCACAAUGUACGCUUAUGUGCGCUUCAAGGACGACGGCGUGAAGGUUGUCUGCACGAAGAAAGAAUUAAGAGAUUCUCUCCGUAUAGUAUCAAAGACUUCGACAACAAACAAUGGUACAGUGUACGCUGGGAUGACGAAAACAGCGGAUAUUUCAGAGCCCAGAUUAUGAAGUUGUUUGUAACCAAAGAGGAGGCUGAUGCUUCCGCGGAAAGCUCGAGCAAGAGAUUUUCCUGCCCCCAAAUGCCUAUGGACAGCAGUUUAGAAGGCGACACCGCAGCGAGUGGAGAAUCCUACAGAAAGCACAAAAGAGAAAAACAAGUGCCAAAAUCUCGUGUGAAGGAUACCGAGGCACAGUUUAGGAAAAAACAGCUGGACCUUUUGUUUCCUCCUGAAGCAUGAAAGGGAGGAGAUUGUCUUCGGCAAGAAGUUGUGAGGCUGCGCAAGAUCUUCAAAGCAGAUUUCUUCAGCCACUCCUCGUCCAGAAGUAUCCAUUUAAGGAGGUUGACCUCGCGGUAAAAAUUGCGGACAUCAUGAAGGUACCGACGCCACCAACUCAGCAGCUAACACCACCACCUCAGCAGCCAAAUGAGGAAGGUUAACUGUAGAGGGCUCACCUCACUUGACGAUUUAAAUAAAGUGUGUUUGUGUUUGACAACUGCCUUUGUGUCAUAUGCAGUGACAUGCAUGCCGCUGCCGCAUGCUACGAGCAAAGCCUGCUCGCUGCCUGUGCAGGCACCUAUUGAUCUAAUAGAGGCUAUUAGUUUAUGCGUAUUAGCCUAAUACAGGCUAUUAGCUUAUGCCUAUAAGCCUAAUACAGGCUAUUAGUAUAUGCCUAUAAGC
rnacentral:lncRNA from 1 species